ensembl:snRNA U6 U6 spliceosomal RNA
GCUCACUUCAGCUGCACAUAUACCAAAAUUGUUAUGAUACAGAGAAUAUUAGCAUGAUACUGUGCAAGGAUGACACACAAAUUUGUGAAGCUUUCCAUAUUUUU